GGGGCCGUAGCUCACCUGGGAGAGCGCCUGCUUUGCACGCAGGAGGUAGCGAGUUCGAUCCUCGUCGGCUCCA
rnacentral:tRNA from 1 species